CAGCAUGACAGCACCCUGCUGGCCCUCCAGGGGGCCCUGGGCCUCUAUGAUGGACACACCCCGCCAUACGCUGCCUGCCUUGGGUUUGAGUUCCGGAGGCACCUGAGGGAUCCUGACAAAGAUGGAGGGAAUGUCACCAUCUCCCUCUUCUACCGCAAUGACUCCACUCACCUGCCCCUGCCUCUCAGUCUCCCCGGGUGCCCGGGCCCCUGUCCACUACGCCGCUUCUACCAGCUGACUGCCUCGGCCCGGCCUCCGGCCCAUGGGGUCUCCUGCCAUGGCCCCUAUGAGGCUGCCAUUCCCCCAGCUCCAGUGGUGCCCCUGCUGGCCGGAGCUGUAGCUGUGUUGGUGGCACUCAGCUUGGGGCUGGGCCUGCUGGCCUGGAGACCAGGGUGCCUGCGGGCCCUGGGGGGCCCCGUGUGAGCCAGAAACCAGGGUUUCCCUACCCCCAGCUGACACUGGACCCCAACACGUAUGCUCACUA